rnacentral:lncRNA from 10 species
UGAACUCAUCUGGGCCUCAUGAUUUCCAUUUUGAAAGGUCUUUCCUAUUGAUGAAACUACUGGCUCAGCUGAUCCGAAGGACCUCACUAAUGCCAGCUGAUCUGAAAGACCCCACUGACACCAGCUAGUUUGAAGGAUCCCACAAGGAACUGACUCAGCAAAGAAUGCAGUUUCCAAAUCCUGAUGAUUUCAACCAUCUUGCCCUGACCAAUCAAUGACCUCAAUUUUCCAGCCUCUCCCCCUCCAUGAUCCUCUUAAAAACUCCAGCCCAGAUU